CCUACGGGGGGCAGCAGUGAGGAAUAUUGCGCAAUGGCCGAAAGGCUGACGCAGCGACGCCGCGUGAGGGAUGAAGUCCGUUAGGAUGUAAACCUCUUUUGCAGGGGAUGAACGUCUCGCUAUACGCGGGAUUGACCGUACCCUGCGAAUAAGGAUCGGCUAACUACGUGCCAGCAGCCGCGGUAAUACGUAGGAUCCGAGCGUUGUCCUGAAUUUCUGGGGCGAGAGGGCGGGUAGGUAGGUCGCUGGUGAAAUCCCGCAGCUUAACUGCGGAAUUGCCUUCGAUACUGGGGAUCUUGAGUGCGGCAGAGGGAGAUGGAAUUCAUGGUGUAGCGGUGAAAUGUGUAGAUAUCAUGAAGAACACCGGUAGCGAAGGCGGUCUCCUGGUCCGUAACUGACACUGAUGCGCGAAAGCGUGGGGAGCAAACAGGAUUAGAUACCCGAGUAGUC
rnacentral:rRNA from 1 species